rnacentral:rRNA from 18 species
ACAACUUUCAACAAUGGAUCUCUUGGCUCUGGCAUCGAUGAAGAACGCAGCGAAAUGCGAUAAGUAGUGUGAAUUGCAGAAUUCAGUGAAUCAUCGAAUCUUUGAACGCACAUUGCGCCCCUUGGUAUUCCAUGGGGCAUGCCUGUUCGAGCGUCAUCU